rnacentral:rRNA from 1 species
GACGAACGCUGGCGGCGUGCCUAAUACAUGCAAGUUGAGCGAUGAAGAUUGGUGCUUGCACCAAUUUGCAGAGCAGCGAACGGGUGAGUAACGCGUGGGGAAUCUGCCUUUGAGCGGGGGACAACAUUUGGAAACGAAUGCUAAUACCGCAUAACAACUUUAAACAUAAGUUUUAAGUUUGAAAGAUGCAAUUGCAUCACUCAAAGAUGAUCCCGCGUUGUAUUAGCUAGUUGGUGAGGUAAAGGCUCACCAAGGCAAUGAUACAUAGCCGACCUGAGAGGGUGAUCGGCCACAUUGGGACUGAGACACGGCCCAAACUCCUACGGGAGGCAGCAGUAGGGAAUCUUCGGCAAUGGACGAAAGUCUGGCCGAGCAACGCCGCGUGAGUGAAGAAGGUUGUCGGAUCGUAAAACUCUGUUGGUAGAGAAGAACGUUGGUGAGAGUGGAAAGCUCAUCAAGUGACGGUAACUACCCAGAAAGGGACGGCUAACUACGUG